rnacentral:lncRNA from 1 species
AAAGAGAUGUUGGGAAUCAAUCUUGCCCCUCCUCUCACUUGCUAGAGAAGGAAAUCCCCAUUUCCUUCAUAUGGAAACUAUGGAUUCCCGUUCUGCAGGUUCAACUAAUGUUUUCUUCUUGUUUGUUCUUUCCCGUUGUACGGGUAGACCGUCGUCUACCAACUUGGUCCGGCGUCGAGUGCCGUAAGGCUGACAGAAGAGAGUGAGCACCCACCGGCGACUGCAUCAAGGCUAUGCCGUCGUCACGGCGCGUGCUCACUUCUCUUUCUGUCAGCUCCUGGUAGUGUUGCACUGGCAAAAAGCAGUCCUGGAUGGGAGAACCCUGCAGCCUGCGGUUGGAAUCCCCCCCUCCUCUCUGGUAAGUUAUCAUCUCGCUUCUCUUUCUCUCUCUAUCAUCGGUCGAUCUACUCAUCUCUCAAUGUUUUUGGGAAUUACUCUCCCUCUCUCUCUUGGUGUAUAUCAGCUAUCUACUAAUCACUUAUGGCCCGGUUUUCGGCGGAAGGGGAUCUGGAUAUUGGUUGCGUGGAUUUACAUUAUUCAGUCUUGUUUCGUUGGAAUUAUCACCAACCGGUCCACUUUCCUAUUUAGCGGUCCAAGAAAACCUGCCCAACGGUGAGUAAUGGUAGUUGUGGAAGCUCGAGAGCGUGAUUUUCAAUGGCGCUCCGCAGUUUCCCUUGGAAGAAGAGCACCUGGUUAAGCCGUGCAAAACUAACUAAAGUUAACCGUUUGACUUCUAACCCUUGUCAGCAUCUCCCCUUCUUCCUACAUCUUCGUUGUCUCUUCAUUACAUCUGAUUGAAUCUCUUUCUUCUUCCUGCUCUCUCUUCUUCAGUUCUUCACCAUAAGAUGCCUCUUUAUCCCCUGCUGCAUCUGUCUAUUUUCCGGGUCUGUAUUCAUUUGGGUGGGUCAGCUUUCCCGAUGCGUUUUCUUCUUCUCUUUCUUUCUUUCUUUGUCUCCUCAUUUGAUCUCUCCUGUUUGCUUCAUCCGUCUGAUCUUUCCGGUUUCCUCGGCUUUUUAGCUAGUGGCGGUGAUUUGGAAGCUAUUCUUCUUUCCUGGUGCUUGAUAUUGCAUGUUCUGUCUUGAAAAUUCUUCUGUCGGACGUAGAAGUUAGGUCGCUCUAGCCUCCCAAUCAUUUACCUCACUGCUGCAGGUAGCAUCAAUGGGCAGGACAGUUUGGUGAAUCGGUCUCUGGUAAUCAGAAAUAUACUGUUCGGAAUUGUCGAUACUCCCUUAUGUUGUACAGGACAAAUUGAAAGAUUCCCUAGAUGGGCCAUGUAUCGUCAGUAGAGAGAGGAGUCUUUCCUCCAUCAUGAUCAUCAAUACUUUUCCGGAAGAUUGGUCAUAAUUUUGGUGAACGGAAAGCCACUUGGGCAGCCUGUAGAGAGACCUCCCGGUUUCCGGGAAGAAGUUGUAUGACCCGGACUCGUUUAUCGGCUGAGAGAUCCUCAUGCGAUUGUCAGGAAGUUGGAACCCCGCAGAAUUUAUAAUAGGAGAUUAACUUGACAGGAUGAUGCCCAUAGCUGUGGCCUGUGGGAGUAUCCCAUGGGCGAGUUGAUACCAAGUAUAACCCACUUCGCCCUCAAACGAUGUAGAAACUUUGUGAGAGUGCAUGUAAAGUCUUCAUUUCAGUAUGACUACAACUUUUCAGUCAACACAAUAAUUUAAUGACGGCAUCAAUCAUUGGGAAGUUCAAUCAUCCGCACACAAAGAUUUGCUGAGAAGUAACUGACCGUCAUGGAGACAUUUUACUAGGUACAAGAGUUUUAAUCAUGCCGUCGCCUUGUUAUCAAUAAAAACAAAUAAUCCGAUCCAUUACAAAGACAGAUUGAGCUCCAGAAUGACCGCUUGAAUAGGUGGUGUAGGUGGCUAAAGUUCGUUCUAUAAUUUAUCUUGGUGGGAAAAAAACUAAGAGAAUUCCAUUACCCUAAGCUUUCAUGGACUGUCAACUAAAUAUUUAGUUCUCUUUUACUGCAUAGAAGUCUUGCGCUGAGGUUUCUAUCUUUGAACAACAUCAACACACCAUGUUCCUGGAUUUCCGUUGUAUCCGGUUCAUGAGGACUAGGUUAUAUGGUACGUCAAUAAGCCAUAUACUAGAUGUUAUGGAAGUAACAACUCACAUUCCUUCCUGAUGAACCAUAUCUUUCUCACUAAUACAUCAUUUAUUUCUACGGUGUUCAUUUAUGAUUCUGUUUUUUCUCUGGUGUACAUAGAGCUAAUUAUGGUAUAAACACGUGACAAAGGGUUUUAUUGAUUGAAAAAAUGGGUCGUAAAAUUUUAGUAAACAUUUUUUUGUGGAUAUCUUUAAUCGAUGUAAAGCUACCCUUAAGCAACUAUGCAGGGAGAAAGAAGAUCCUAGAAUCUUAUAUCUUGUGGAAGAAUACAUAAACAAUUAACAAUAAAGGGAUGUAGGAGACUUACAUCUGUGUUUUUACUCGCACCAAAUGAAUCAAGUAAUAUGCAUCAGCUAUAACUAGGCUCGAUGUUUAACUAGACUCCAAUCCCAAUUCUGUUUCUAGCAUGUCUAAGAAGGACUAUCCUUUUACUUCUUGUUGUCAAUGAAGUCGUUGACAAGGAUUUCCAGUUCUAUGAUCAUCAUGGUAUUCGCUCACAGAACUCAUUCAAGAAUUAGCCUUUUAUUCUGUUUCUUUUUCUAAUGCCCUUGACAUUGAUAGCUGUUGAACUAUAUAGAAUCAUUAAUUAACCACUUUUUAUGAAUUUUUAUGUUUUUGGAGGACUUCGACGCUUAUUGCAGACCUCAACCUUACUCUGGGCCACUGUUUGAUUUAUUCAUUUGCCACCGACACGAGCUGUUUGACUAACUCACGUGCACCAG